GACGAACGCUGGCGGCGUGCUUAACACAUGCAAGUCGAACGGAAAGGCCCUGCUUUUGUGGGGUGCUCGAGUGGCGAACGGGUGAGUAACACGUGAGUAACUUGCCCUUGACUUUGGGAUAACUUCAGGAAACUGGGGCUAAUACCGGAUAGGAGCUCCUGCUGCAUGGUGGGGGUUGGAAAGUUUCGGCGGUUGGGGAUGGACUCGCGGCUUAUCAGCUUGUUGGUGGGGUAGUGGCUUACCAAGGCUUUGACGGGUAGCCGGUCUGAGAGGGUGACCGGCCACAUUGGGACUGAGAUACGGCCCAGACUCCUACGGGAGGCAGCAGUGGGGAAUAUUGCACAAUGGGCGGAAGCCUGAUGCAGCAACGCCGCGUGCGGGAUGACGGCCUUCGGGUUGUAAACCGCUUUCGCCUGUGACGAAGCGUGAGUGACGGUAAUGGGUAAAGAAGCACCGGCUAACUACGUG
rnacentral:rRNA from 1 species